rnacentral:rRNA from 1 species
UACGGAGGGAGCUAGCGUUAUUCGGAAUUACUGGGCGUAAAGCGCACGUAGGCGGCUUUGUAAGUUAGAGGUGAAAGCCUGAAGCUCAACUUCAGAAUUGCCUUUAAGACUGCAUCGCUUGAAUCCAGGAGAGGUGAGUGGAAUUCCGAGUGUAGAGGUGAAAUUCGUAGAUAUUCGGAAGAACACCAGUGGCGAAGGCGGCUCACUGGCCCGAUACUGACGCUGAGGCACGAAAGCGUGGGGAGCAAACAGG